rnacentral:rRNA from 1 species
GUAGGUAACCUACCCCACGGUUCGGGAUAGCCGGUCGAAAGAUCGAUUAAUACCGGAUGUGACGGAGAGGCGGCAUCGUCUUUCCGGGAAAGAUCCUUCUCGGGAUCGCCGAGGGAGGGGCUUGCGUACUAUUAGCUUGUUGGUGAGGUAACGGCUCACCAAGGCUUUGAUGGUUAGCCGGCUUGAGAGAGUGAACGGCCACACUGGAACUGAGACACGGUCCAGACUCCUACGGGAGGCAGCAGUAGGGAAUUUUCCGCAAUGGGCGAAAGCCUGACGGAGCAAUGCCGCGUGAGGGAUGAAGGCCUUCGGGUCGUAAACCUCUGUCAUUGGGGAAGAAGGUGCAUCGGAGGAAAUGCCGGUGUAAUUGACGGUACCCAAGGAGGAAGUCACGGCUAAUUACGUGCCAGCAGCCGCGGUAAUACGUAAGUGGCGAACGUUGUCCGGAAUCACUGGGCGUAAAGAGCACGUAGGCGGCCGGGUAAGUCGGAGGUGAAAUCCAGGGGCUCAACCCCUGAACUGCCUCGGAAACUGCUCGGCUAGAGGUCCGGAGGGGAAAGUGGAAUUCCGGGUGUAGCGGUGAAAUGCGCAGAUAUCCGGGAGAACAUCAAUGGCGAAGGCAGCUUUCUGGCCGGAUCCUGACGCUGAGGUGCGAAAGCCAGGUAGCGAACGGGAUUAGAUACCCCGGUAGUCCUGGCCCUAAACGAUGAAUACUAGGUAUUGGGCCUUAGGUUCAGUGCCGACGCUAACGCAUUAAUUAUUCCGCCUGGGGACUACGGCCGCAAGGUUGAAACUCAAAGGAAUUGACGGGGGCCCGCACAAGCGGUGGAGCAUGUGGUUUAAUUCGAUUCAACGCGGAAAACCUUACCUGGGCUUGACAUCCCCUGCUACCCUAUGAAAAUAGGCUUUCCGAGCGAUCGGACAGGGUGACAGGUGGUGCAUGGCUGUCGUCAGCUCGUGUCGUGAGAUGUUGGGUUAAGUCCCGCAACGAGCGCAACCCUCGUGUUUAGUUACUAACAGUUCGGCUGAGGACUCUAGACAGACUGCCCGUUUUACGCGGGAGGAAGGUGGGGACGACGUCAAGUCAUCAUGCCCUUUACGUCCAGGGCUACACACGUGCUACAAUGGCGUGUACAAAGGGCUGCGAAGCCGUGAGGCCAAGCCAACCCCAUAAAGCACGCCCCAGUUCGGAUCGGAGACUGCAACUCGUCUCCGUGAAGGUGGAAUCGCUAGUAAUCGUGAAUCAGCAUGUCACGGUGAAUACGUUCCCGGGCCUUGUACACACCGCCCGUCACACCACCCGAGUCGGGUGCUCCCGAAGUCGCAUACCCAACCUCGUGAGGGAUGUGCCGAAGGAGUGCUUGGUAAGGGGGGUGAAGUCGUAACAAGGUA